CAUACAUAAAUAAUUAUAUAAAAAUAAAAUAAAUAUAUAUUUAAGGCAACAAUUCAUGAUUUUUUAUUGGUGUGAAUAACCAAGGUUUCCUUCACAACCUAUAAUAAACUGGUUUAAAAUUCAUGUUACCUCAAUGAGGCACUUCACAAUGAAUAGCUAGAAAGCGUUUAAAUGUGUGUUUGCGGCAGCAAAAUAUUAUGUUUUGCCCUACCUGACGUUUUAUCUUACUGAAUAAUUGCAGUACUCGCUGCUACAUUAGUCGGGGAUCAAAUUCAACACCAGUCACUAAGCUCAAGUUCGGUGGUCUAGUGGUUAUGACACCAGGCUAGGCUAGUUAUCUGGAGGUCAUGGGUUCGAAAAAUUUGCUUCCAAAUUUUUUUUCGCAAGUAUUUGUGAAUGUACUGAGUAUUCAGUAUGAUAACAUGUCAGAUAGUGAAAAACAUUACUCCUAGAAAGUGUCAGUCAUAUAUAAUAGUUUCAAGAGUAAAUGUUAAUGUAAAAUAAUAUACUACUAAAUUUACAAAAAUUAAAAAAUAACUUAAUGCCUUGUUGGCUUUAACUUGUGGUUAAAUGUUAGGGAGGCCAGGGCACUGUGAACACCCAUUCACAAUGAGCCACCCUAAAUAAAAUCAAUAGGUGGUUCAGACUACCCCAGGCUAAGGUAGCUUGACCCAUUAUUUUUUUUAACAGAUUUGACAUAUUUGAAAUCCUAAUCAUUACCUAGCGUACAUACUAUAUAGUAAUAAGUUUAACUGUUAUACCAAUAACAAAUUAUUUGUUUACUUUCAAUGUUUUCUCCUGGUGGUAAAACAAUUUCAACAAGUGACAGUACUCUGGUUUCCCCACCCUGGUAAGUAUAUUAAAGUCAGAUUCUGGAGGGAAAAAAUUGUUUAUUUGUCGUAGAACUGAUUUUCUGGGACACAAAAAAGUUGUUUAACGAAAAAUCGAGGAGUGGUUAAUGAGAUAGAGAUGUUUGAAUAUUUAAAAACUGGGAAAAAAGGGUGGUUACGCCACUGUCUUAGAAAAAUCAAUUCUACAACCUAUCAAAAUUUGUUUUUCCUCCGGAGCCUGAAUUUAACUUUCUCUAGGUCUGGGGCAGCUUGAACCAUUUGACCUAAAUACUUUGACAAACAAUUUUACAAAUGAAUUUAUGUGCUCAAUUACAAAACUGAUUAAACAUAUUCAAACUUCUCAAGUUAGUAAAUUGCAUUUCUUCAGUAACCAUUUCAGGGAGAAAAAAAAUCAAUUAAAUAUGCCAUGAAAGAUUUUGACUGACGCCCGACCACACCCACUAUUCUCUUGUCGGGGAAAGUCCUCCCCCUUUCCACCCACACCACCGUCGGACAAAUCCUUGCACCAUUCCGACUUACAUGCCAAUCAAAAAUAUUUUAUUUAUCAAAAAUAAUGAUCAACAGUAAGUGCAUAAAAGCUGCAGCAUUAUGCGCUAUAAAUAUAAGUGGUAAAAAACCUGAAGUGACACAGGGCACACUUGUAUUUUCUACCCAUAAUAUACAGUACUGGUUACAUAGUCCUUAAUAAUAAUUGUCUUGACAUUCGUAUUAUUAUAUUGUAGGUAUGAUUGAACACACUGAAUGGUAACUUCAACAUGUGGAUAAGAAUAAUGUGCAAAACACAAUAGGGUACAAGUGAUGGACAAUACUGCACCCACAAUAUAAUGCAUCAUCCUUAUUGUCUGUACGCCAUUUUGUAAAAUGAGCAGACAGCGAACAUUUGGUAACAGGUGUUGUCAACUGAUUUUCCACAACAAGAACGAUGGUGUCGGACCCUGUGAAGCCUUCAUCGUCAACAGCACAUGAGAUCAAACUACCGUGCAUGUCAGGCAACACAGAUGGUAUGGUUAGUAGGUAACUCUAUUGUUUCCCAGAUAUGAGUGCGGUUCUGAUGUGACGUCUGACCAACCACUUGCAAAAAUUCUAAAACAGGUAUUGGUGAGGUCUUUUCAGAAACACAAGCAACUUCAACCUGGUCACCAAUGUAAUACAAAGGCUGUGACAGACAGCAAAGAGGAUACGGACUCGAUGGUACUUGGAGAACAUCCAGAUAGGCUUUUUUUGAUGAUAUAUUGUAGGUGUCAUUAACCCUAUAGACACACAUAUAAUCCGCUUCAUCCGAUCUUUCUACAGGAUUUAUUUUCAUAAUAAAUUCAUAAUUCUUAAUAUUUAAUAUUCUUUUGUCAAACGAAUAUCUGGAGUGAUUUGCAUCUCUGCCUAGGCCUCGUAGGGUCAAAUUAUGUUUAAUCCAGAGAAUGUUGUCGGUUGGCUCAUAACUUUUGAUCACACAGCUGAAUGAUGCAAUUUCUCCUUCAGUAAUGGUAGCAUUUGAAGGAUCUACGGAGAAUGAAAUAUCCUGAGCAUCUGUUGAUCUCACUGUGCAAACAAGCAAACAAAUUAUUAUUAGGCCUAGUCCAAAUCGGGAUAGUAAGAGUAAUACUGCUUCCAUUAUUAUCAGAAUUACCGAUGUUUUCAUACAGCUCCUACUAAAUACCACAGGGAACACACGAGGCCACUCGGGGCCCACACCACUCGGGACCACACGGGUGAAAAGGUGAUUAAAAUGUUACCACACGAGAGUAUAAAACUGCUAUAUAAUCAAUGAAAACCAACUUUUAUAAUGGUAAUUGUCCAAAAUACGGUAAAAAUGAAUUUUUUUUACAGGCUUUUCCGCCGUGCUUCGGAAGGUAAUGCAAUUGACAUUGAGGUUCUGUAACGCAUUCACGUCUCCAGAAACGCGUUCAAACUUGACCUCUACCACAUUCACUACGUACGUUACAUUUCAUCCUGCGUGUAUGCCUAUUGUAUGGCCUAAGUAUUCUACAA